rnacentral:lncRNA from 1 species
CACAAGCUCCCGUGCUGCUAGAGAAAGUCCUCAGCUAGAAACAGGUGCAAAUUCUGGAGAUGAGACCUUGUAGAGUGUUAAGAAUGGUUUUCUUCCCAGCAGCUACAGGGCAAAGAAGACCCAGAGAAAGCCCAAAUGGCUGAUGGAACAAAGUCAGACACCGUGCCACCUGUCCACACUCCUUGGCUCUGCCAUCAUGCUGAAGAUCGUUUUAAAGGACUGGCUUCCCUCCCCCCAAAAUUAAAAGAGCACAGACUGAGAAACUGAAUGUAGGAGACAGCAGUGGAUUAUGCUGUUCUCAGGGGUCACCUCAGGUUUGGAAGCAUUCUUUCAAAUUAACCCAUCUCAGGCCAUCUGCAGAGAAGAAAGGUGGUACCUAACUUUUUUUCUUGUCAGCAUUUGGUAGGGGUGUUUUAUUGACCAAAUAUGUUCCCACAACCUGGUUUUUUGUGACUAAGUAAAUAUAGUAGAUUUUUAAAUUUUAUCAUCAAAAUCUAUAGACAAUUUUUGAUUAAAAUAGACUCCAUAUCUAUGUCCUGCUUUUCUUCUUAUUAUUAAUUACAUUGCUGUAUAAAAGAACAAGACUUCAGAAUCAAGAAUAUCUUGUCUCUUCGCAUUGAAUUUAUAUACAAGGUGCUCUUUCUUUAAUGCUGUCUCAAAGGACAUAUUUUUACUCAUUAAAAAGGAAGAUCGGAAUCUGGUUGUAUGCACUGCUCCAACAUAUUAAUAAUUAAAAUUAAGAGGUAAAUGUGGUCAAAGCCAUAGAAAGACUGAGAUGUCAUUUAUAUUGAUUACUCUAUAGCACUCUACAAACAGAAAUUGUGAAAUAAGUUUAUAUAAAUAUUUUGUAGCAUUUCAAAUAUUUGAGUGCUUGAAGUUUCUCCUCUUAUAUAGUUCAGAUUAUCAAUUUGAAAACUUACUCCGCUAGUUAAUAUGUUUUUAGUCUCGUUUGAGUAUUAUAUAAAAGCAAUUUUCAGUUAAAUGUGUUCCGCUUACAUAAAACAUUACAAAUUAUUGAGGAUUUAAUUACUUAUUCAUGUUCCUGUAAUGUCUUUAGAAGAUUUUCUUCUUAUUACCUAUCAAUAUAUGUAUGCUUUGUCAAAGAAAAAUCAAACAUAUAUAUCAUUGAAAUUGAAACUUUUUAAAAGUACUUAUUAAUUCUAUUGAAAAACCACAUCCAUAGGAACAAUUACAAUAUAAUAUUGUGAACAUGUAAACAUAUACCCUAUGUCUAUUUUAUGUAUAAUCAUAUAUGAUUAAAAAUAUAGUUAAGAAUUUUUAAACCUAGUAUUAUCAAGUAAAAAUUAGUUAACUUCUGAUGAUUGUUAAUUAAGAUAAAAUUAUUUUGAUUUGGGUGAUUUUAAAUAAAGAAAAAAAUUACAUGACAAAAAUUCUUUAUAAAAUGUUUAUGAUUUUUACAUUGGUUUUAUCACUUUAUUCCACUAUUUUAUUUUAAGAUGACCAGCCUUGUUUAAAACACUGUAUUCAUCUUAAUUAAAUUAAAUUCCAUUUGUAAAAAAAUUAACAAAUGAUUUGCUCUAUUAUACAGUGCGGUUGUAAACUGAGUCAGUAUCUCAAGGUUUGACCCCCAUUAUCGUCAUCCGUGGCCCUAUUUGUUUGAUAAAUGUAUUGUCUUUUUCCAUGCCUGUCGCAUCUCUAUUGCUCUUUCAUUUUUCUCUUUGUCCCUUAUAGGGAGCAUUGCCUAUCUCUAGAUUAAGCAAAAGUUGCAUCUUAAAAAAGCACAAUAACCUGCUCAAU